AUGGAUGUGAACUGGUCCAUCGCCUCUCCCAUGCUGGAGGGCGAGCUGGCCUCCACACAAAGCAAGCUAACCCUCACCCAGAAGCGCUGGCUGCCCGACCACACCUACACCUGCCAGGUCACCUAUCAAGGUAACACCUUUGAGGACAGUGCCAAGAACUGUGCAGAUUCUAACCUGCAAGGGGUGAGCACCUACCUGAGCCGGCCCAGCCCCUUCUACCUGUUCAUCCGCAAGUUGCCCACGAUCACCUGUCUGGUGGUGGACCUGGCACCCAGCAAGGGGAACGUGAAGCUGACUUGGUCCUGGGCCAGUGGGAAGUCUGUGGCUCAGGUCAUCCUAAGGCAAGAGAAGCAGUGCAAUGGUACGUUCACCAUCAUGUCCACCCUGCUGGUGGGCACCAGAGACUGUAUCAAGGGGGAGACCUACCAGUGCAGUGUGACCCACCCCCACCUGCAGUCCACGACCAAGAUCAGCGGCCCGUGUGCUCCCCCACAGGUCUACGUGUUUGCAACGCUAGAAGAGCCGAGGAACCGGGACAAGCGCACCCUCACCUGCCUGAUCCAGAACUUCUAG